ensembl:misc_RNA 7SK 7SK RNA
UGAUGUGAGGGUAGUCUGGCUGCAACAUCUGUCACCCCACUGAUCACGAGGGUUGACUCGGCUGAUCUGGCUGGCUAGGUGGGUGUGCCCUCCUGCCUCACCGGUCCGUGUCAUUCCUCCUGAGGCUGCAUGCUUGAAGAAGAUAACCUUCCCCAGUAGAAGAGGGCCAAUGUUUGGUCAAGGGUAUAUAAGUAGUUGCAUUCCCCUGCUAGAACCUCCAAACAAGCUCUCAAGGUCCAUUUGUAGGAAAAUGUUGGGUAGUCAAGCUUCCAAGACUCCAGACACAUCCAAAUAAGGUGGCAGUCUGUUUUUUUUUUUUUU